AUGGCCUCGCCGCCGGCGAAGAAGAAACCCCCAACCACCAUACGCGACCUCGACCAAGACACCCUGCGCGAGAUCCUCUUCCGCCUCCCCUCUCUCCCGAGCCUCGUCCGCGCCGCCCUCAGCUGCCGUGCCUUCCUCGACGCCAUCCGUUCAUCCCCAGCCUUCCGCCGCCGCUUCCGCGCGCUCCACCCUCCCCCACUCCUAGGCCUCUUCCUCAGCAUCGAAGACGCCGUCAUCCCUUCUUUCGUGCCUCUCCGCCGCCGGCCCGACCCAGACCUCGCCGCAGCCGUCCGCGGCGCCGAUUUGUUCCUCACCCGUCUCCCAGUUCCCGAAGACGACAUCUCCCUUCCUGUCGCCGUCCCCAUCCCCAAAGACGGCAGGGAGGAUGCCGUCCCCGUCCCAAUCCCCGAAGACGCCAAGGAAGAUGCCGUCUCCGUUCCCGUUCCCGACGACGGCGACGAGGAUGCCAUCUCCAUCCCAGAAGAAGAAGAAGAAGACGACGACGAUGACGACGACGAGGAUGCCGUCUUCGAGUGGUCAAUCUGCGACUGCCGCGAAGGAUUCGUUCUUCUCGGCAACUGGAGCACCGAGCAAAUGGCUGUCUACAACCCGCUCACGCGGACCCUGGACCUCAUCCCCCUGCCGCCCCGCGAAAGCCGUGUGGGCUCGCAUAUUGAUUUCUACAUCCUCGCCUCGGAACAGGACUACCGGUCGUUCCGCAUUGUGUGCGUCCGGCACAGCAAAUGUGGGGCGCUCGCCAUCGUCUUCUCAUCAGACACAAGAAAGUGGAAGAUCUUCCCAUGGACAGACAUUGACGGGUUCUGGCCUCAACAUGGUAAGGUGGUGAAUGGUUGCAUCUAUUGGACCAUUGGAAUGCCGACGGACGCCCGUGUGCUUAACACCGCCACGAUGCAGUUCUUUCGGAUGGAUAUGCCGCCGCGCGGGACAACUAAUGAAACAUUGACGGCUGGCGAGACCAAGGAUGGAAGGCUCUGUGUGGUGUUCGCGCCUAUAGUAGCACUGAGGCCCGAGUCAGCACUUGUUGUUUGGAUAUUGAGAGCCGAUGCUGGCGAUGCUGUCGAGAGAUGGAUGCUGGAAAAGUCGCUUCCAUUGCAGGAGGUAGCUGGGAUUGUUCGGUGUCAAGUUGAGGAGAAUGUUAAAGUUCAACUCAGUGUUGAUGCGAUUAUUGAUGGCUUUGUGUACUUGUCUGCUUAUUGUGGUGCGUGGGAGCAUCAUCAUUCGACUCAUUGGUUCCUAUCCUACUGCGUGGAAAGAGCGGUGCUGAAAAAGCUUGACCGCAUCCUUUAUGAUGCUUCCUAUCCCUACAUUAUGCCAUGGCCUCGUUCGUUGGUACACAGCAAGCCAACCAACAUCAAGUUAAAGGCUAUGUGA
rnacentral:rRNA from 1 species